ACCGGCUCAUUCGACACCACUUUGCGAGUCCAUUUCAACUAACCGGUGUUGUCCAACUUUGUCUAGCGGCUCCAAAGUUACGGGUGCACUCAAAUUGUGACAAUUCACGGUGGGCAAAGUGUCCUCUCGGUCUCUGGUCGUCUUCGUCUCGCUGUAAAGUAAAGGAACAGGCGCUGGGAGGUUAGAUUGGACCGAAAUGGACUGAGUUAGUUGGAGUCGGCGACUGGCGAAAGCAACCCUCAAGUAAUCCGGGUCAGUAAUUAAUCCGCGUUGCUUAAUCCAUUUAUACUUGUCCUGAUCGAAUGGAGAGGACAGGAAGAGGAGUGUCCUACGGUUGUUUUUUGACGUUGCCGGGGCCGCAGUGAGAUGUUUGGCGGCGGGCGAGCGGGAAGUUAGUUGGCCAACUCAGGAAGUUAACAGAGCUGAGGACACAACCAGGAAGAAGCGAUGGCUGUCAGAUGGAGACGGACCCGGUCCACUUUUAGGCUUCUCCUCGUCGGAGCCACCAUACUGACCUGUGUCUUUUACUUCUGGGAUUUCUCCUCGGAUGCGAGCGUCAAACAGCGACGGAAGGCCGAUAUCAUGGACCUGGAGAGGCUGAAGAGGCCAGUCUACGAGAAGCCCCCCUUGGAUGUGGACGCCCCUGGGGAGCUGGGCACAGCCGUCCAGCUGGAACUGGAUGGGGAGGAGAAGCUGAAGGAGCAGGAGAGCAUUUCAAAGUAUCAGAUCAACAUUUAUGUCAGCGACAAGAUCUCACUGCAUCGCCGCCUGCCAGAGAGGUGGAACCCACUCUGCAGAGAUCUGGAUUACCACUACACGUCCUUGCCGACGACCUCGGUAGUGAUCGCUUUCUACAACGAGGCCUGGUCCACCCUGCUGAGGACAGUCCACAGCGUCCUGGAGACGUCUCCCGACAUCCUGCUCAAGGAGCUGGUGCUGGUGGACGACUACAGCAACAGAGAUCACCUGAAGGCGCCGCUGGAGGAGUACCUGUCAGGAUUCAGGAAGGUGCGUCUGAUCCGGGCCACCAAGAGAGAGGGCUUGGUGCGAGCCCGCCUGCUCGGGGCGUCCGUCACCACUGGCGACGUGCUGACCUUCCUGGACUGCCACUGCGAGUGUCACGAGGGCUGGCUGGAGCCCCUUCUCCAAAGGAUCAAAGAGGAGCCGACGGCCGUGGUGUGUCCCGUCAUCGACUCCAUCGAUUGGAACACCUUUAAGUAUUUGGGCAACCCCGCUGAUCCUCAGAUCGGGGGGUUUGACUGGCGGUUGGUCUUCACCUGGCACCAGAUCCCUGAGCAUGAGAAGAAACGGCGCCGCUCGCCCACUGAUGUCAUCAGGUCUCCGACCAUGGCCGGGGGUUUGUUUGCCGUCAAUAAGAAGUUUUUCACUCACUUGGGGACGUACGAUGCUGGGAUGGAGGUGUGGGGAGGAGAGAACCUGGAGUUCUCCUUCAGGAUCUGGCAGUGCGGCGGCAGCCUGGAGAUCCACCCGUGCUCUCACGUGGGCCACGUGUUCCCAAAGAAGGCGCCGUACCAGCGCAGCCACGCCCUGGCCAACAGCGUGCGUGCCGCCGAGGUGUGGAUGGAUGAACAAAAACGUAUCUACUAUCACCGCAACCCCCACGCCAGAGCGGAGCCGUUCGGCAAUGUGAGCGAGCGACUGAUGCUGCGAGAAAGGCUGGGUUGUAAGAGCUUCAAGUGGUACCUGGACAAUGUUUACCCCGAGCUCCACGUCCCACAGGACCGGCCGGGCUUCUUUGGAAUGCUGAAGAACCGGGGGAAGGCCGACUAUUGUUUGGACUACAAUCCUUCAGAUGAAAACAACUGCUUUGGCGAAAGAGUCAUUAUGUAUGCGUGCCAUGGCUUGGGCCAGAACCAGUUCUUUGAAUACACCGCGGAGGCGGAGAUCCGAUACAACACCAGAGUGCCCCCCGGCUGCGUGGAAGGCGAUGUCGUCAGCACCUACCUGACGGUCCAAGCGUGCAGGAAACACGGGAAGCCCGCACUCGCCCACCAGAAGUUCCUCCUCAGACACGUAACCGUCUCUCCAACAUGCAGAUGCCUCCGUGUUUUUUGGACUUUGAUGCUGAGAGGCUGCUUUUCUUCCAGGACGACAGCCUGUUCCACACCGUCAGCCAGAAAUGUGUUGAAGCGGGGGACAAAUUCCCGUCCCUGCAGCCCUGCUCGGACAGCCCCCAUCAAAAGUGGUUCUUUCAGGAGCGAACGUAACGAUAUGUUGUCACGGAGUGGAUCACGCUGCUAAAUGUUGUUUUUCCCUCCCAGCACGUUUUCAUCUUAGCUGGAUGGGGAUAUAUUUUUUUAUUAUUAUGGGAUGCUUUGCAGACUUAUGGGGCUUUUGUCUACUGAAGAAGACGCUAAAUGAAGAACACUCGCCUCCUCUGCUGGCUAGCCUUCCUUUUCCUCCACUCACUGCAUCUUGCACCGGAAUGUGCGCCUCCAUCUGGACCAAACACUCAAAGGGGUGUUUGCACUUAUGCCUGCAGAGGGUGCGGAUGCGCCUCCAUAAAGGAAGCUUGAAGGUGAGAAGCUCCGCAGGGAAUUUUCAUCAUGCCGCUUCGUCAAUGGAGGCUGGGAAAAUAAGGGAAAACUCGUCUUACACUCGCCUUAUACUCCUCCCACGCAAAUCUGUCUACCGCUUUUGAAGUUCUUCAACCGACAUUCAAAGAUUCAAUGAAAGCCAUAUUUUUCCUCUUUUUUUUUUCUAUUCGUCCUUUUAUUUAUCUUUUUUUUUUUUUACUAAUGCUUGAGUCACAUCGAUAAGACUGUACACUCGUGAUUCAGCAUUUGCGUCCCAGAUUUUUUGCCAAAUUAUUUUUUCCAUCAUCCAUCCAUCUUCUAUGCCGCUUGUCCUCACUAGGGUCGCAGGGGUAUGCUAGAGUCUAUCCCAGCUGACUUGGGGAGCGAGGCGGGGUUACACCCUGGACUGUUAUUUAAAUUUUAUACAUUUAUUUUUACAUUUUUACAUUUUUUAUUUUGCCUAUGAAAAUAGGCAGUUUUGGCAGUAGAAAACACACUUAAUUCACCAUAAGUUUGCUAAUACUUUGUAAAUAUGUGAUAAUGCAGGUAAAAUGUACAGCAUACACAGACCAGCCCACAAAUGUUGCCUUUUUUUAUGUCUGUGUGCUUCACUGAUAAUGUUUUUUCGUCAAGAAGUGAGAUUUCACACUUUGUUCUGCGGCCCCUGAAUGCACCAUAGUUGUGUGCUGAGAUGCAAAAGUGAAACUUAUGUAGUGGAACCUCGGUUUUCGUCAUUAAUUUGGUCCAAAAAGUCCAACGGAAACUGAACUGUAUGAAAACUGUUGGGAAUGUCUGUGAAUUGUGUCUAGGAGUCUGAAGGACAAUUGAAUUCAAAUAGGAGGCUAUACUAGCAAUUGUAAUGCCAGCGCCGGAGAGAGUGAUUAGUGGCCAACAAGGGUUUCGAUCUCUUUGAACAAGAGGGAAAAGAUUCUAUUCCUAACAAAACCAUUUAUCUGCUUCGGACACCUAAAAAUAUAUUUUUUAAAUUCAUUUUGUACAGAAUAAUUAUAAUUUGUGCAAAAUAAUUAUUGACAAAUGCAGUUUGUUUCAUGCAAUAUUGUAUGAAAACAGGCAACAUUUUUGACAAAAAACAAAUCUUACAAAAACUAGCGUACGAAAAGGUUUGACUGUAAAAUAGAACUCUCCCACACUGCCACAACUUAAUACAGGGGUGUCCAGAGUGCGGCACGGGCGCCAUUUGCAGCCCGCAGCACAUUCUAAAAAUAUAAAUAAACAAAUAAAUAGAGAGAAAAAGUCAAAAUUUGAGGAAAAAUAACGCCAUUUUAGUAGCAUGAAGUUGAAAUAUUAGAGAAAAUAUUAGAGAAAAAAUACCUUUUUUCAAAGUUGUAAUACUGCAUUAUGAAAAGCAAAACAAAGGUAUUUUUUAAAAUUAGGUUGCGUAAGAAGUUAUGUUACGAGGAAAAAGUUAAGACAAAGUCGUAAUUGUGAAAAGAAAAUGUACAAGAACGUUUGAAAUAUUUGAAUAAUUAAAAAAAAAAACAGCAGAAAAGAAAAAAAAGCUGUAACUUUGCAAGUGUAACGGCGUAAAGUUGAAAUAUUAAAAAAGAGAAACAACAGCCAAAAUAGGGAGAAAAAAGCAUAAAGUGAAGUUCAUACUAUUCGACUUUUUCACUGAUAUCACCGAGAUUCAGUUUUUUCUUGAAAUAUAUAAAACAUCUUAGCAUACCUUUUGAUUUUUUCACUGUGCGGCCCUCGCAGGAAGAUGUUUGGACACGCCCGGCUUAAUACAUCAAUCCGAUCACAGAUAAUCUUACUUUAUCAUUCAUUAAUGCUGAGUAGCUACUGAAUACAUUUUAUACUUUAAAUGUGUUUAAUAAGUUUGUGAGGCAUAUUUAGGGCUUAAACCUGGAUUGUGUCGCGAGUGAACAAUAGCAAUUGAUGAGAGUAGCGGAGGUUGUGGCACAGGGUGAACGUGCCGUGUGUCUCACUGGUGGGGCCAGAUCGGAACCCCUGUGAAAACUGAGGCUCCACCCUAAUUUCACAUUCUCCAUGGGAGCGUGGAUGAGGUUCCUGAUUGGUAAACAGUGCACCAAAAGUGUGCAUCUUGCCUCUGCACAGAAUACAUUCUGGACUCUGGUCCCUUGUGGAACCGGAGGCCCCAGGCUAUGCCGCCGGUGCCGUAGGAAACGCUAUGAAAAAAGGCCGACACCAUCUCUGGAGUGUUCCAAUAGCAGAUGGUUGGCUGUCUUUUUUUUUUCUUUUUUUUUUUCCUAAAAAUGUUCAACAUCCCCGCUCUUCCAGAAUAGGUUUCAUCUUUAUGAUGCGUCAAGUCAUUGGCAUGGAUAUGCAAGGACGGCACCAUAAAGGUGCAUCGUCAUUUUUAACAGUGGAAGCAGAUGAUUGGGGAGACUCGAGGAAGAAAUUGGGACGACCUCGUUAGUGCUCACCUUCAGCGGUGAGCCUAUGCUGUUGCACUUUUUUUGCAAUUGAUUGUGAAUGUAAAGUCAACAGUGGCACUGAGAUAAAUCACAUCAGCCGGGGGGAGGAGAAAAAGACGUGAAACACAGUCACUAAGUAUGGGGGAUAGAGGCGGGGAUGUUUGUUUUAUUCAGGUUCUUAUAAAUCAUAUGCCAAAACCAUCACUGCAUGGCGGCCUUCAUAUUCUGCUUGCUACGAUAAAUGGACCAAAUCUAAGUUUGGUGUAUAAUUUUAAAUGAGCGUAUUUUGUUUGCGGAGGAAAAGAAAUGAACUUCAGCAAUUGUGAAUGUUGCUGCAAAUUCAUGAGUUUUUUGGGGUAAUUGUUUCUGUGAGGUUUCCACAAUGUUAUGAUCAUGUAAUAGAUUGGCGCUUAAAUCUUUAAUAACCUGAAAACUAUGACUGCACAAAUUUUAAUUGCACAAAACAGCACAAACAAAUGGGACUAUUUUGGUUUAAUUCGGAGGACUGUGUGAACAUUGAUUGACCUCUACAGUAAAAUAUUCUGUAAUAACUCAAAAAUGAAAGCGGCACAAACGUAAUUUAUUUGCAAAACCAGCACAAACGACUAUUUCUGUUUACUAAUGGGGGGACACCAUGAUUAGUGCACAGGUGUGCCUUAGACUGCCCACAAUAAAAGGCCACUCUGAAAUGUGCAGUUUCAUCACACAGCACAAUGCCACAGAUGUCACAGGAUUUGAGGGCGCGUGCAAUCGGCAUGCUGACAGCAGGAAUGUCAACCAGAGCUGUUGCUCGUGUAUUGAAUGUUUAUUUCUCUGCCAUAAGCCGUCUCCAAAGGUGUUUCAGAGAAUUUGGCAGUACAUCCAACUAGCCUCACAACCGCACACCAGGUGUAAUCACACCAUCCCAGGACCUCCACAUCCAGCAUGUUCACCUCCAAGAUCGUCUGAGACCAGCCACUCGGACAGCUGCUGAAACAAUCGGUUUGCAUAACCAAAGAAUUUCUGCACAAACUGUCAGAAACCGUCUCAGGGAAGCUCAUCUGCAUGCUUGUCGUCCUCAUCGGGUUCUCGACCUGAUUCCAGUUUGUUGGCACGUUGGAGAAGUGUUCUCUUCAUGGAUGAAUCCCAGUUUACACUGUUCAGGGCAGCUGGCAGACAGCGUGUGUGGGUGAGCGGUAACCCUAACCACACCCAAUAAAACAAAACUGCCCAUUUCAGAGUGGCCUUUUAUUGUGGGCAGUCUAAGGCACACCAGUGCACUAAUCAUAGUGUCUAAUCAGCAUCUAGCAAAGGAAAAGUGCUCACUAUCACAGAUUUGUGAACAAUAUUUGAGACAAAUGGUGAUAUCGUGUAUGUGGAAAAAGUUGGAGAACUUUGAGUUCAUCUCAUAAAAAAUGGGAGAAAAACAAAAGUGUUGCGUUUGUAUUUUUGUUGAGUGUACUUCUGUGAGUCAGGAGAAUGUCGACCGGGUUUAGUCAUGCCAGUCAAAAUAUUCAGAUAUUAUGACGACUUGUCGUCAAAGCUUGCUUAUGGUCACGUGACGGCGGCGGGUCGGUGGCGUCAUUGUUUGCAGAAAGAAGCGGUUUUAACGACAAGCCGGCGUGCUCAAGCAUUAUAAUACUUUGCCGUUUUGACCUGAAAACGUUUCCGUGGGGACGGCCCCAAAGAGACUGUAUUCCCCCAGGUUUAGUGCCUUGGGUGGAGGCUUUCACUUCCGUUUCCAGGCCAUGUGCUUGUUGCAAAGUUGUUGUUGCUUAGUUCAGUGGAGAGUAAACGGUUGCUUCUUCUCAUCCUUGACUUCUCUCUGGUUCUCAUUUACUUAUGUCUCCACAUUUGGUGACCCCAACUUGAUAUGAACAUUGAAGAUUAUAAAUCACAUCUCCACACUGCAGUAUUUCCCUAAUCCUUCCCCAGUAUUUCCAUGCUGUUUCCAAAGUGCAACAUUUCCCCAUUGUUCCUGCAGUGCUGCUCCGAUAUUUCCCCAUUUUUGCCUGGAUUUUCCAUGCUACUUCAUUCUUGUUUCUUCAAUGCCCUUAUGCUUGUUCCCCGAUACCAGGGGUGGCCAAUACAUCGAUCACGAGCCACCGGUACAUCGCCAGGGUAGUUUGGGUAGAUCGCGUAAACGGCACUUUGUCGUUGUCAUAUGACAUCAGUCAGCUGACAUUAAGCUCCCCCCCUGAUUCGCGCUUGCUCCUCCGCAGCGUUUCAAGCUACACAGGAAGAUGCAACUUUCAUGUUUAUUAUUGUGAUUAUGGGUGAACUAACUCUGCGGUAAGAUGUCUAUAUCUAUAACAAAAGUUAUAUGUUCACUUGUAGCGGCUAGUUGCGUAGAAAAAAAGUGUAUUGUUUACUGGCUUUGCUUGGCUUCAUGAACUCUACUACAGAAAUCAGUGUUUUCUACACGUUCGCUUCUUAAACUAUUAUUUCAUGAUGAAAUUAAAAAUGUGCCCAUUAGUGAAACCUUUUCAAUAUGUUGCCAAAAUCAUUUUAAAUUCUUGUAUAUGGGUAAUGUUUGAUAGCAAAUGCUAACUGGAUGUAAUCCAUGAACUGUGUGCCCUAAUGAACGUUAUGUAGCUAAUUUGACCGACAUAUUACCAGUACUCAGGUUAUGUUCACAAUUAUUUAGGAGUUAUGUGUAAUUUAUCUUUAUUUCCAUAGUGAAGUGAAUUAUAGCAACUUUGAAAAUGUGAAUGUGAAAUACUAAUAAUUAAUAUUUACAAUAGAAUUCCACAGUUUACUGGUUACAUUUUGGAUAUGUUAUAUGUUUUAUAGAAAGAGGUAGAUCAUUUUGACUUGUACUUGCAUGCUGAGAAAGUGUGUGCACUCCUGAUACACAUGUAUAACCUACAUAAAUACCUACUCAUAGUUUAUUAAAAUAAAUAUAGUAAAUAUAUAUACUUUCUAUAUUUAUAGUAGUAGGUAGAUCUUUGGGACUUGGUCAUUUUAAAAGUAGCUUGCAGGCUAAAAAAGUGUGAGCGCCCCUGCCCUAUGCAUUCCUAGUCUUCUCAUGAUGUUUCCACACAUACUGUACAUCCAUGCUUUUUCCCCCUAAUUUUCAGUGAUAUUUCCCCAGCAGUGGUGCCACUUUUUUACAAAGUUUCUUCAAUGUUUCCCCUAUGUUUCCAAGAAAUGUCCAUGGAGUUUCCCAUUAUGUUUCUCUAACGUUUCCCCAAUCUUCCCAUGACCAGUGAAUUUUCUUGCAUAGUGGGAGGAAUUUUCCUUAUUUUCUCCCCAAAAUUCCUAUAUUUCAUAUUUUCCAAUAGAAAUGUUGACAGGUGCGUUUCCAAUGCAUGUUAGUAACAGUGUGGUCGGCUCCUCCUCCUAAUCUUUUGGGCGCAUCCAUGUGAAACGCAGAGCAGUGAGCUUAUAAAAAAGAAAAAAGUGGAAAUUCUGACAGCGCCUCUCCACAUCGACGACGGCGGCGUGUGCUGCUGUGCUAUCCGUGCGCAGAGCCGAAAGGCCUUGCGUUUGAUGCAGGGUGGCAUAACACGCUGCGCUCGUCUCCCAUAGCACAUAUGUGUCUUUAAUGAUAAUGCAAAACAAGACUCCCCAUGGGUUCAAUCUUUGGAAAUGCUCAGGCUUCAGUUGUCAGGGCGACGCACAAACACACACACGCACACGCACACACACACACACACACACACAUAGGAUGGGCCAUUUCUCCACUGCAUGUCGCUUUAGUUUAUGUAAUCCCCAAUACCCAGAACAGCUCAGGAGCUGUUGGCUGCAUACAUUAGAUGACACACUUUCACUUUCAGGGGGGACUUGAGACGGUGCAGUAAACAUGUGAGGCCGCAUUUCUAAUGCAGUGCCUGCCUCCACCCCGCUCGUCGCGUUUGUAUAAGACGCCGUGUUUCUACUGACGUUUAGCAGCCGCGUGUUGCACGUCGUCUGUUCCUGUGGGACCGUGUUGGUGCCCGAACUCACAAACUCACGUUGAAAUCACAUAUUGAUUUGUUUGUGCUUCCACCAUAUUGUCAAAGACUCCCAUUCUGGUUGGCAUCUCCUCCAAGCUUUCCUCCCACGCCACAAGCCCCAUUUUCUUGAAAGUGUUCCUUGCCGAUAAAAAGCUUCCACAAGCGAUGAGGCCCCAACCACCACCGCUAUCACCAUUCCAUUUAUUUCACGUCAUCUGAUGGCUUGAUUGCUUGCUAAAUGGCCUGCCUGCACCCCCCAGUGGGUAUACUGUAGGUUGUAUAUAUUCCUUUGGAUGCAAAGAUUCUACCUCAGACAGGGAGGUUUCCUAACGCAAUGUUCAUAAUAGUGUAAACAUGCUGGCUUUUAGUAUGGAUGCUUUUUCUGCUACAGAAAGAACAAAAACAUCGCAAUGGUAAGCCAUAAUUAGGCAAAAAAAAGUAAUUAUGAGAUAAAGUCAAUUAAAAUAAUAAAAUUAUGAGAUAAAAAGUCAUAAUUAUGACCUAAAAAGUCCAAAUUAUGGAUUACAAACUGCGCAUGUGCCGCCUUCUUCACUGGAGCCUUCGUCAUCACAUGGAACAUGUGAAGUUUGAAUAUCAGAAUUUUGACUUUUUAUCUCACUGACUUUUUUUCUGACUUUUUUCCUCGCAAUUUCAUCUUUUUAUCUCCUAAUUAUGACUUAUAUUGGGAUAUUUUUUUUCUUUCAGUGGCGGAAAUGGGCUUCCAUACCAUGGAGCAGUGUUUCGCUUAAAAAACAAAACAAAAAAACAGUAACUUUUGGAAAUUCACCAGGAAGCAGAAUCAACUGGGCCUUUAGGCAACAAAGGCAAAUGCUAAGGGUGCCAUGGCCUCCAGGACGUGCCAAAAAAUUUGGGGGGAAAAAUCACAUCCACUAUUGUGCACUCCUGAUCAAAAUUUUAAAACCAGAGUUGGAUCCUUAGGAGGUUCUGAGUUCAUAAUGCAAAAAGAAGAAAUGGAGUGAGACAACAAAUGUUUUGACUAAGCAAUUUGUUGCAUUGAAGCAUUCAAGUGAAAGGGGCUGGUCAUCAGCUGAUCAAAAGUUUAAAACCACAAUCUUUAAAAGCCAAAAUAAAAAAAAAUGUGGCUUGAAUGUGACUUAUGAAUGUGAGCCAGAGGAUCCCAUUGGCUGUCCGUCAAGACACGGGACCAUCCUCGACCCAAAUGAAGGUUGUUACUGGUGAUGAAUGCCGUCCAAUAAUCAUCACACAGGAUCUGCGAGAGAAGGCUCCCCCCCCCACCCCCCACCCCCCGGCCUGUCCAGCCUUUAAAGCAGAUAGAAUUGUAGAUCUAAAUGCCGUCAAGUGCUCAACAGAUCUACUCUGCCAGGGAGUGUGAUAUACAAUUCCCCUGUUAUACAGAAUUUAUUUGACUUAGAUGCUUGUUAUUAAGCAAAUUUGGAGCGACCGGACCGGAGCAGGAGGGGACAGAGAAGAAGAGAAAGGGGGGGUGUGGGGUUAAGAGGGGGACAAAAAAAAAGACAAGGACAACAGCAGCAACAACAACAAUUGUGACAACAAGAACAGAACAACAGAAACAUACAGAACGACAUCAGCAAAUAAAUGUCUGUGACGACUAUAAAGACGAACAAGGACAUAAGGACAAAGGACAAAACAAUAUCAACAACCACAAUGAUAACGCUGUCAAUGACAAUCACACAUAAUAGUAGUAAUGAAAUGAUGAACUAUGAUAGUGAUCACAAUGACAAUACUGCAUUGAAACAGUCACACAUAAUAGUAGUCAUGAAAUGAUUAUCCAUGAUAGUGAACAGAAUGACAAUAACUGUAAUGCAUAUCAUUGUUAAAAAAAAACUAUAGUCAUACUCCUGAUAUCGCCAUCGCUGUAAUAAAACCAACAACAUAAUAACACCCUGGUUAACUCAGUGAGUAAUGUGGGGAAGUACAUAUGUACUGUGAGUGUGCAUAUGUACAGGUAUCUCUGUAUGUGGGGAAGACUUCAUAUAUAUAAAGGUGCAAGAAUGUGUGGGCGUGUAAUUGUCACUGAGAAUGCAUGAAAGGAAAGGGGCCGCCCUCCACCUCCUAGAGAGCCCCGCCCCAAAUAGCCAGGCCGAGCCCCCGCCGCCAGAAGGCCACCAGGCCCACAGGGGCAGGCAGAACAAAGAUCAGCCCAGAGAGCCCUCCCCCCUGGGAAGACCAGCAAGGGGCCGCAGAGAGGUAAUCCCAGCCAAAGACAGGGCAGCCAACCCCUGAGACCAGCAAGAGAUCACACCCCACAAAGGCAGACGAGUACCGGGGGCCACACAACCGGAAAGAAGCCCGCCCACGCCGGAAGGAAGAGAAGGCUUUUAAGAAGAAAAAACGUCUUCAGAGGCCUUGUCUCCUUCAAUGCCACAAAAUUGCCCGUUUGGAAUUUUCAGGAGAGCGCCAAAAAUGGGACAUUGAAAGGUGGAAGAAAGUUUUAUUCUCCGUUCAUGGUCCUGAUGGCUUCCAACGUUACUGGCAUGACAAGGAGAUCCCACCUGAGAUGUUUUCCACACGGCACGAAAUAGGGCUAUGUGGAGAUGUUGCAGGGGGCAUCCUUCAUGACUGAAGGCCCUCGUCUGUGUGGUAAUGACUGACUUUUUCAAAAGGACAACGCUGCACUUUACAAGGCACUUCUUCCAGAGGAGUACGCUCACUCUUUUGGACCGUCCUGCAUGUUCCUCCCAUCUAAAUCCAAUGGAAAACGUUUGGGGAUGAAUGGCAAGGGAAGUUUACAAAAAUAGACAGUGGAUGCCCUUCAUGAAGCCAUCUUCACCACCUGGACCAAAAUUCCCACUAGCCUGCUGGAAACACUGGCAUCAAGCAUGCCCAAACCCAUUUUUCAUCUAAAUAAGAAGAAUGGCACAGCUACUUAUUACUCACUCCUUUUUUUAAAACCUUUUUUUCUAUUUUAAGGUGGGUUUCAGAGUUUUUGGAUCACUUUUGAUCAGCUGUUUAUCCGCUGAUCAUAAGUAUUACUAAUAUUAUCAGCUGAUGACAGCCUAUUUCACUUUAAUGCUUGUUUGUAAUAAAUUGCUUAUGCAAAACAUUUUUUUCCCACUCCCAUUCCGUCUUUUUGCAUUUUGAAGCUCUAUUAUAACACGGGGUCCAAACUUUUUCCACCAAGGGCCGCAUACUGAAAAAUCAAAGGAUGCAGGGGCAACUUUUCUAUUUAAAAAUAUAAAACUUGGUAUUGGUGACAAAACUUAUUAUUAGCAUGAAGUUUUCUCCUUAAGUUUAUGAUUUUUACAAAUAUUCCUGCUUUCUUCUUGAACUUUUUUGUAUCAUUAAGUGUUUAUUCUUUUAAUAUUUGACUAUAUUAUUGUAAUAUUUUUGUUACUAGACCACUGGCGGUAUUUUUUUAAAUUGUCAUUUAUGCAGUGGUACCUUGGCAUACAAGUGUUUUUUAGAUGGGAGCCUUCUCUCCACUUUUUUGCUUUGAACUGCGAGCUAAAAUUUGGGUUACGACCUGCUAUUUACUGGCAGGCAUAACCGAGGAAAGAUAUUUGGGGUCCUAUGUCAAUGUGACCAUGGCUCAAGAUGAAAAUGGAUGUAAAUAGCAUUCGCAGUGCAGUAGCUAGUCACCAGGAAAGAUUUUCAGCACAUCAGUAAAACAUUAUACAUUAUAGUAAUAAUACAUUACAGAAUAGUGACGUAAUUGGUCUUAUUUAUUAUUUAUUGUUUAAAACUAUGACAGGAAUAACAACAAAUUAAAAGCACGAAAUGAAUACAGAGCCACGAUCUACCAGUAGUAUGUCAGUGGGAUUGAGAAGGGCCUCAAAGUACCGUCCGACUGCUGUAUAUCCUCAGUCGAAGUCAGCAGUCCCCCGAUUGAUCGGGCACUGUUUCCCCUUUCUGAGGCGGCCGAUGGUUUGCCAGGACCUCUUUGAAGACGACCGAAAGUCGUGCUCCAUGGCCUCACUGAACUCCUCCCACACCCGAGUUUUUGCCUCGACCACCGGCAAAGCCGCGUGCCGCUUGGCCUGCCGGUACCUGUCAGCUGCUUCAGGAGUCCCACAAACUAUCCAUGCCCGAUAAGACUCCUUCUUCAGCUUGACGGCAGCCCUGACCUCUGGUGUCCACCAUCGGGUUUGGGGCUUGCCGCCACAACUGGCACCAACCACCUUGCCGCCGCAGCUCUCAACAAUCGAGGCAUGGAAUAGGGCCCAUUUGGGCUCAAUAUCAUCGUCCUCCCCCGGGAUGCAAGUGAAGCUCUGCCGGAGGUGAGAGUUGAAGACUCGCCGAACGGGAGCCUCUGCCAAACGUUCCCAGCACACCCUCACUACACGUUUGGGUCUCCCAGGUCUGUCCAGCAUUCUCCCCUCCCAUCUAAUCCAACUCAUCACCAGGUGGUGAUCACUUCACCGACUUACAUACCUUCCAUAGAGGAACCAGAGUCUGAGGACACGAACGUGGACAGUUCCAUCACCAUGGCUGACAUAUUUGGAGUAGUCAAAACGCUCCCCAGUGGCUUAUCUCCGGUGGUGGACGAGUUUUGCCCUGGUUUCCUCAAGGCUCUGGAUGUAGAGGGACUGUCUUGGCUGACACGUCACUUAAACAUUGCGUGGAAGUCGGGAACAGUACCUCUGGAUUGGCAGACCGGGGUGGUGGUCUCCCUUUUCAAGAAUGGUGACCGGAGGGUGUGUUCCAACAAAAGGAGGAUCACACUCCUCAGACUCCCUGGGAAAGUCUAUUCCACGGUGCUGAAAGAAGGAUAUGACCGAAAGAACGAGAUCGCGGAUACAAGCGGCUGAAAUGAGUUUCCUCCGUAGCGUGGCUGGACUCACCCUAAGAGAUAGGGUGAGGAGCUCAGUCAUCUGGGAGGAGCUCAGAGCAGAGCCGUUGCUCCUUCACAUCCAAAGGAGCCAGUUGAGGUGGCUUGGGCAUCUAGUGCGAAUGCCUCCCUGGUGAGGUGUUCUGGGCAUGCCCAGCUGGGAGAAGGCCCCGGGGCAGUCUAUGAGACUAGGAUUAUGUCUCACAGCUGGCCUGGGAAGGCCUUGGUGUCCUACUGGUGGAGCUGGAGGAGGUAGCUGGGGACCGGGAAGUUAGGGCUUCCCUGCUGAGACUGCUGCUCCCGUGAUCCGGACCCGGAUAAGUAGAUGGAUGGUUGGAUGGAUGGAUCCACCCGUACGAGCCCGGAGUUUGUUUUUCAGAGAGGUGCGCCACACAAAUACAGCACUCAAUAAGGUCCUCAGAUUUUACCUUUAUGUAUUCCCUUUAUGUAUUUUUGUUUUUAUGUAUUUUUUGAAAAUGCUUUUUGUCUCACUCCCCCUUCUUGUUUUUGCAUAUUGUAGCUCUACUUAAAACCUCAUUAAGAUCCAAAUGUGCAAAAUGCUAAUUCGAGCAAUUUUUAAGAUUCUUAAGAUUUUGAUCAGGAGUGUACCUUGCUGGAUGUGAGAUAUGGCGUCUAUUACGGUACGUUGGCUAAGGAGUACAGUGGAUGAAGUACACAAAAGCGCUUUUUGGAGUCCACGCCGCUCAUUAUCGUAAACGGGUUGGACUGUGUCGAUCUCGACUGCACACCUCGACUCACUCUUCAUUUGGAGCGCUGAGAACUUUGACUCUGCUUUUCACGCAGUGUGAUCAAAUUGAAUGGCGUCCUCUCUUGAGGGCCCGAGUCGUCUACGUGUAAUGAUGCAGGUCAAACACUUGUCUUGAGCGUGUGAAUUAAACGCCUCAUCACUCCGCAGAGGCCUUCCUCCUCCUCUUCCUCCGGAUAGACACCAGGCUAACAGUAUUAAUAUGUUGAGAAUCUAACAUUUGAAUGAUUUUUUCAUCCAGCAAAUGAAUGAGUGUGCUCUAUUAAUCCCAUCUGGUGAUGCAGACAGAAAAGGAUGCAGCUGUGCUCCAAGCUGCUCAUGUUAUUUUAAUACAGAGGCACCACUCUGUUAUUUUUUUGGGUAUGUGUGUGAGGUUAAAAAAAACCCAGGUAUUUCCUGCGUGUGCAUAAAUCUUUACUGAUGUGAUGAUGAUGCGCUCGGUCAGAUUGACAAAACACCAAAUAGCCCCGCUUGGAAGUGGAGGCAAGAUUGAUGUAGCACACUAACACACUUUUAAUCAUGGAAGUCAUUGAGCUUGAUCCUUUCCCCUGACUUGAUAGAAUAUGUUUAUGAUAUGAUUAUCCACCUCCUACACUUACUGCCAACAGGGUGAAAUCAUUCUAUCAAGCCAUGCCAGGAAGUAAUCAUCAGCUUUCUGCAUUUAGCAUUUUUUACUCUUAGAUGCAGCCUUUUCUUACCACAGCUUCCUUUUAUUAAAUCCCACAGAGCCGAAUGGCAUAACUUACGCGAAUAAUUGAUGCAACCGGAAAAUUGUGCAAGGUUUGAGGUCCAGUUGUUUAUAUAUAUACAGUAGACGCCCCUACAACGUAAAUAAUCCGUUCCGAGAACCUUUAUGUUAUAGGGAUUUUAUGUUAUACGAAGCGUAAAAUACAUGUAAAUAGCCUAAUCCGUUCCAAGAUCUUCCCAAACUCACCCCCUUUGGCACUUCAAAAUAUUCAAAGUCCACCAAAUAUGGUGGGAAAAUAUAAGAAAACAUGAGCAUAAACAUAGUAGAGUAACAUUCCAAUAUAAAAUAAGGUAAUAAAUAAGAUUACUGUAAAUGAAUAAAACUGAAAAACAAAAUCAAUCCUACCGUUCACGAGAUGUCUUGAUCAGGAGCACAAGUGGAGGCAGGAAGGAGGAGGAGGACUAGCCUGAAUCAAAACGCGACUCAAAGAGUCUAAGAGUCAGCUGGUCUCACAGACAAACGCACACACACUACACGAUAAUGCUGUGUGCAAAAGUUUAAUUUGUAACUUCACUUAAUUGUUUAAGUUAGUUUCAGGGCGACUACGAAGAAGCACGUGGGGGCCACACAAACUACUGAGAAUCAUUUUGAGUUGCUACAAUGACAUUUUAGCAAAAUGGACCAGUGUGCUGCAUCAUUUUUUCACUUUCAUUUUUGGGGUGUCUUUGAUUUCCCCCAUUGCCUGACAAUGUCGGGGCAUGCUCCUAAUGAGACUACGGAUGGUGUCCUGGGGGAUCUCCUCCCAUAUCUGGACCAGGGCAUCACUGAGGUACCUGGACGCAUGGAGGAGAUUCCAGGAGACAGGUAGUUACUCCAGGAGAGCUGGACAGGGCCGUAGAAGGUCCUUCAACCCUCAGCAGGAUUGAUAUCUGCUCCUUUGUGUAAGGAGGAACAGGAUGAGCACUGCCAGAGCCCUACAAAAUGACCUCCAGCAGGCCACCGGUGUGAAUGUUUCUGACCAAACAAUCAGAAACAGGCUCCAUGAGGGUGGCCUGAGGGCCCGACGUCCUGUAGUGGGCCCUGUGCUCACUGCCCAGCACCGUAGAGCUCGAUUGGCAUUUGCCAUAGACCACCAGAAUUGGCGACUACACCACUGGUGACAGACGUGAAAGGGUCUGGAGAUGCCGUGGAGAAUGUUAUGCUGCCUGCAACAUCAUUCAGCAUGACCGGUUUGGUGGUGGGUCAGUGAUGGUCUGGGGAGGCAUAUCCCUGGAAGGACGUACAGACCUCUACAGGUUAGAUAAUGGCACCCUGACUGCUAUUAGGUAUCGGGAUGAAAUCCUUGGACCCAUUGUCAGAACCUACACUGGUGCAGUGGGACCUGGGUUCCUCCUGGUCCACGAAAAUGCCUGACCUCAUGUGGCUAGUGUAUGCAGGUAGUUCCUGGAGGAUGAAGGAAUUGAUACCAUUGACUGGCCCCCACGUUCACCUGACCUAAACCCAAUAGAACACCUCUGGGACAUUAUGUUUAGGUCCAUCCGGUGCCGCCAGGUUGCUCCUCAGACUGUCCAGGAGCUCAUUGAUGCCCUGGUCCAGAUCUGGGAGGAGAUCCGCCAGGACACUAUCUGUAGUCUCAUUAGGAGCAUGCCUGUCAUGAGUUAAAGUGCUGCGCUGCUGCCAUCUUAUGGUCUCUUGUUGCAGCGCACCUGCCCACCUUGGGGAGGAGCUCAGACACACCUGUUUUCAAUCUUCGUUGGACUACUUUAGCUCUGCUUCCAUGUUCAGUCAUUGCCGGAUUGUUUUCCCAUGUUCAUCUGUUCCAUGCUCAUGUCCUGUCUUGUAUGCCUUCCCACGUUUCUGGCCUCGGCUAGUUCCUGUAAGUUCCUGUCAGCCUUUUUGCUACAAGUCUGUUUGUUGCUAUUUUCAAGUUCUCGCUCCUGCGCAGUUUUUCCAUUGCAGUGGAGUUUUUGUUACCAUUCUCUGCUAGUUUUUCAGCAGCUACCUUAGUUAGCAUUUUUUUGGUAUUUUUCUGUUUCCCCUGCCGGUUAGUUGUGCAGCGCCUUUAGUUACUAUAGUGUCAUAUUUUCGUAUUGGAAUAAACCUUCGUAAACCUACACCGGUGUCUUCUCUGCAUCAUGGAAUCCGGUUACCGGCUGUGUGCCACCCCGUGACAGUACAAUCCGGCCAUGGUGGAUUCUGCAGAGUUAGAGUACCCCAUUCGGGGUCGGGACACAGAAGAACUGUUCAGCCGCACCUCCCCCCGGCCGAUACCACGGAUGGUUCCCUCGGCCCACUGGCAGCGGCGCCUCGACCCCGCCAUUGUUGAGACCACCGGCAGCUCCACGGAGGAACCCAUGCAGCGUGGAACAGGUCGCCUGCCUACGGCGGAACUGGCUCGACGGUGUCGCCUACGCCUCUGCCUAUACUGCGGAGCUGCGAACCACCUCAUCGCGGCAUGCAUCAUCAGGCCACCUCGCCGCACUCAAUCACCCCCAGACGACGUCAAAGGUACUCGCCCUCCAGCUGACGCAGGUCGAGAAUCGGCUGGUGAUCGACCACCAGUAUCAGACUGUGAGUACCCCGUCAAGCAAGGUCACAAGAGGACCACACAAUUAGGACUACAUGUGGCUGGAACAAUUAGUGGGGGGUAGGAGCAUACCAGUUUCCGCAUUCAUUGACUCUGGAGCAGACGAUAAUUUCUUGGACUCAAGUUUUGUCAAUGUUCAUAAGAUACCUAAGGUUAAGUUGUCUAAUCCUAAAGUGGUUCGCUCCCUUGAUGGUGCAUUGUUAGAGAUGGUGUCAUAUCAGACUGAACUGGUGUCUCUUCGACUCUCAGGUAACCAUCAGGAGAUGAUUCGAUUCUUUAUUAUUCCCUCUCAUUCAGCCCCCGUUGUACUUGGAUUGACCUGGCUAAAACUCCAUAACCCAUCAAUUGAUUGGAAGAGCAUGACUAUUAACUGGGGGAAUCAUUGCUUUGCUAAUUGUCUCCGAUCUGCCGUACCCGUGAGUCCAAUUAUCAGACCUAUUGACGAGAAGAUUGACUUAUCUAAGGUUCCCAUGUGUUACCAUGAUCUGGCAUGAGUAUUUAGUAAAGAUAGAGCCCAGAGUUUGCCACCCCAUCGUCCGUACGACUGUGCAAUUAAACUCAUGCCAGACGCACCAUUACCUGGUUCUAGGCUUUACAACGUUUCCGCACCUGAACAGAAGGCCUGAAAGGAUUAUAUCACGACCUCGUUGGCAGCAGGGCUCAUCCGCCCCUCUUUGUCACCUCUGGGGGCUGGUUUCUUUUUCGUCAGAAAAAAGAUAAAUCCCUACGCCCGUGCAUCGAUUAUCGUGGGCUCAACGAAAUUACUGUAAAGAAUUGCUACUCGCUUCCACUGAUGGAUUCAGCAUUUUCGUUCCUUCACUCCGCUAAGAUAUUUACGAAAUUGGACUUGCGUAACGCUUACCACCUGGUCCGCAUUAGGGAGGGGGACGAGUGGAAGACAGCAUUUAACACUCCACUGGGUCACUAUGAAUACCUGGUCAUGCCCUUCGAGCUUACUAAUGCACCUGCCGUGUUUCAAAACCUCAUUAACGAUGUUCUUAGGGAUCUCUUAAAUCAAGUCUGUUUUGUCUACCUGGAUGAUAUGUUAAUUUUUUCCAACUCCUUACAGGAUCACAUUCGCCACGUACGCCAGGUCUUAGUGAGUGGGAGCCGUCCUGUCCCAACAUUCCCCAGUCGACCAGAGGCUCCACCCGUGUGCAUUCUUCUCACGUCGCCUCACCAAGGCAGAGGAAUAUUCGACCCUUCCAAGGAGGAUGGACCACCAGAAACCAUUUUACCUGUAGCCCAGGUCUUCGCUGGGACAUCGAAAGGAGAGUCAUGGAAGCAGCCGCCGAGACAGAUCAGCCCGAAAGCUGUUCGUGCCACCAGAACUCAAACCCGAAUUCCUUCGCUGGGGCCACACAUCUAAGUUUUCCUGUCAUCCCGGGGUCCAACGUACCCACUUCAUCUUGGCACAGAGGUUCUGGUGGUCAUCUAUGUUGGCUGACACCAAGGGAUACGUCGCAGCCUGCUCUGUCUGUGCCAGGAGCAAACCGUCCCAUCGCCCUCCUGCUGGAUGCCUGCAACCACGACCCAUCCCCUCCCGCCCCUCCUUGAGGCCAACUAUGAGCCAAUUGCGCAAGUCUCCAUCAAAUGUGGCAUAUACCAAGGAGAUGCUCUGACCUUGCAUUCUGUUCUGCAUAGGCCUGGACCCCCUCAGCCAAUUAAUCAACAAGACUGGCUAUGGAUACCGAUUUAAGAAUGGGGCCACCGUCAGUCACCUCCUCUACAUGGAUGACAUCAAGCUGUACGCUAAGAGCGAGCGAGACAUUGACUCACUGAUCCACACUACCAGGAUCUAUAGCAGGGACAUCGGAAUGUCAUUGGGACUGGAGAAAUGUGGCCGAAUGGUAACAAAGAGAGGGAAGGUAGUCCUUACAGAGGGCGUUGCACUCCCAGAGGGCAGAAUAGUAGAUGUUGAGGAGAGCCUUGGAAUACCACAGGCAAAUGGUAACAAAGAAGAGGCCACAAGCAAAGCUGCAACUGUCAAGUAUCUGCAACGUGUGAGGCAAGUCCUGAGAAGUCAGCUCAAUGGCAAGAACAAGAUCUGGCAAUUAACAGCUAUGCCCUGCCAUUGAUCAGAUACCCUGCUGGGAUAAUAAGCUGGCCAAAGGAGGAAGUUCAGACCACAGAUGUUAAAACACGGAAGCUGCUCACCAUGCACGGAGGGUUCCAGUACCAGUACCCAGAGGCUAUACGCUAAGCGCAGACGGAGGCCGAGGAUUAGUGAGCAUCAGGACCACUAUCCAAGACGAAACAUCCAAGCUCCACGAACACAUCAGGAAGAUGGCCCCAAGAGAUGAAUCACCUGAAUGUCUCAGGCAGUUGAAACUGGAAAAGGAGUUGGAGGGAUGUACCACCGACAGAUAACUGAAGUGGCAGACAUGAACAAGUCCUACCAAUGGUUAGAGAGGGCUGGACUGAAGGACAGCACAGAGGUGCUAAUCAUGGCAGCACAGGAGCAGGCCUUGAGCACCAGAGCAAUAGAGGCCCAGAUCUCCCACACCAGGCAGGAUCCCAGGUGCAGGCUGUGCAAAGAGGCCUCUGAAACAGUCCAGCACCUAACAGCAGGCUGUAAGAUACUGGCAGGAAAAGAAUACAUGGAACGCCAUAACCAAGUACCCGCUAUAGUGUACAGAAACAUCUGUGCAGAAUAUGGACUGGAGACCCCUAGAUCUCAAUGGGAAAUGAGAGGGCUAAGAUCCUGUGGGACUUCCGAAUACAGACCGAUAAGAUGGUUGUGGCUGACCAACCGUGAUCAUGGAUAAGCAGCAGAGGACAGCCAUUGUGAUGGAUGUAGCCAUCCCCAACGAUGGCAAUAUCAGGAAAAAGGAACACCAGAAACUAGAGAAAUACCAAGGAAGACCUGGAGAGAGCCUGGAAGGUGAACGCAACAGUGGUGCCCGUGGCCAUAGGAGCACUGGGGGCCGUGUCCCCCACACUGGAGAAGUGGCUCCAGCAGAUACCUGGAGAAACAUCAGACAUCUCUGUCCAGGAGAGCGCAGUCCUAGGAGCAGCUAAGACACUGAACAGGACCCUCAAGCUCCCAGGCCUGUGGAACAUUUAAUCAAUCACAAUGUCAAUCAAUGUCAAUCACUUUUUUGUGAAAUCAAACCGUCCACUUAGGAAGCAACGCAGAUUAACUAUCAAUUUCACAAUUGCUGUUGUGCAAAUGGAAUAGACAACAAGUGGACAGCAAGACACCCCCGUAAUAACAACAAUAAUAAUAAUGAUGCAUUUGAUUUCCAUUGAUAAUUUUUGUGUGAUUUUGUUGUUACUCAACUAUGUAAGUAUUAAAAUAGUAUUUACAUAGUAUUUACAUAGUAUUUAAUCAGAAAAUUUCAUUAAUUCAGAUCAAGGAAGAA